UUUCUCAGAAAUUUGACAACAAAACAAAACAAAGCAAGAUAUGUCGAGCCAACAAAGAAGGCACAGUUGGAAAAUUUAGUAAUUAGUAUUGAAGUAGCUGGCAUAUUUGGAAAAUUAUGCCGA